GACGAACGCUGGCGGCGUGCUUAACACAUGCAAGUCGAACGAGAAUCUGCUGAAGGAGGAUUCGUCCAACGGAAGUAGAGGAAAGUGGCGGACGGGUGAGUAACGCGUGAGGAACCUGCCUUGAAGAGGGGGACAACAGUUGGAAACGACUGCUAAUACCGCAUGAUGCAUAAGGGUCGCAUGAUUCUUAUGCCAAAGAUUUAUCGCUUCAAGAUGGCCUCGCGUCUGAUUAGCUGGUUGGCGGGGUAACGGCCCACCAAGGCGACGAUCAGUAGCCGGACUGAGAGGUUGAACGGGCCACAUUGGGACUGAGAUACGGCCCAGACUCCUACGGGAGGCAGCAGUGGGGAAUAUUGGGCAAUGGGCGCAAGCCUGACCCAGCAACGCCGCGUG
rnacentral:rRNA from 1 species